rnacentral:rRNA from 1 species
GAUGAACGCUGGCGGCGUGCCUAAUACAUGCAAGUCGAGCGAACAGACGAGGAGCUUGCUCCUCUGACGUUAGCGGCGGACGGGUGAGUAACACGUGGAUAACCUACCUAUAAGACUGGGAUAACUUCGGGAAACCGGAGCUAAUACCGGAUAAUAUAUUGAACCGCAUUGUUCAAUAGGGAAAGACGGUUUUGCUGUCACUUAUAGAUGGAUCCGCGCCGCAUUAGCUAGUUGGUAAGGUAACGGCUUACCAAGGCGACGAUGCGUAGCCGACCUGAGAGGGUGAUCGGCCACACUGGAACUGAGACACGGUCCAGACUCCUACGGGAGGCAGCAGUAGGGAAUCUUACGCAAUGGGCGAAAGCUUGACGGAGCAACGCCGCGUGAGUGAUGAAGGUCUUCGGAUCGUAAAACUCUGUUAUUAGGGAAGAACAAAUGUGUAAGUAACUAUGCACGUCUUGACGGUACCUAAUCAGAAAGCCACGGCUAACUACGUG